GUGGGGUAACCCGCAAGGGAGCCAGCCGCCGAAGGUGGGGUAGAUGAUUGGGGUGAAGUCGUAACAAGGUAGCCGUAUCGGAAGGUGCGGCUGGAUCACCUCCUUU
rnacentral:rRNA from 1 species